rnacentral:rRNA from 2 species
GGGCCAGAUGUAUGCUAGUGUUAGAGGGUUUCCGCCCUUUAAUGCUGAAGUUAACGCAUUAAGCACUCCGCCUGGGGAGUACGGCCGCAAGGCUGAAACUCAAAGGAAUUGACGGGGGCCCGCACAAGCGGUGGAACAUGUGGUUUAAUUCGAAGCAACGCGAAAAACCUUACCAGGUCUUGACAUCCUCUGAAAACCCUAGAGAUAGGGCUUCUCCUUCGGGAGCAGAGUGACAGGUGGUGCAUGGUUGUCGUCAGCUCGUGUCGUGAGAUGUUGGGUUAAGUCCCGCAACGAGCGCAACCCUUGAUCUUAGUUGCCAUCAUUAAGUUGGGCACUCUAAGGUGACUGCCGGUGACAAACCGGAGGAAGGUGGGGAUGACGUCAAAUCAUCAUGCCCCUUAUGACCUGGGCUACACACGUGCUACAAUGGACGGUACAAAGAGCUGCAAGACCGCGAGGUGGAGCUAAUCUCAUAAAACCGUUCUCAGUUCGGAUUGUACGCUGCAACUCGCCUACAUGAAGCUGGAAUCGCUAGUAAUCGCGGAUCAUCAUGCCGCGGUGAAUACGUUCCCGGGCCUUGUACACACCGCCCGUCACACCACGAGAGUUUGUAACACCCGAAGUCGGUGGGGUAACCUUUUUGGAGCCAGCCGCCUAAAGUGGGACAGAUGAUUGGGGUGAAGUCGUAACAAGUAAACCCGUAACUG